rfam:Actinobacteria bacterium 13_1_40CM_66_12 13_1_40cm_scaffold_1686, whole genome shotgun sequence.
CGUAUAAUUCGCGAUCUGCCCUAGACCGUAGGUGCCGGCCAUCGUGCCGGCUUAAUUUCCUGCCGAGGCGAUAAGAAGUGAAGGACGCUUUGAUCCUUCCUGCCUUGGCUUGUUGCGGGCGGGGAGGAUUUUUCUUUUGCCGA